rnacentral:rRNA from 1 species
CCCUUAGAUGUUCUGGGCAGCACGCGCGCUACAAUGGUCUUCGCAAACGGAUGCAUUCUCGAAGGAGAAUGCCAAUCUUGGAAUCUAUGCCUUGGUCGGGACAGUUGCUUGCAAUUUUUCGACUCGAACCAGGAAUUCCUUGUAAUCGUGAUUCAUCACAUCACGAUGAAUACGUCCCUGCCCUUUGUACACACCGCCCGUCGCUCCUACCGAUCGAAGAGUUAGGUGAAUUGUUUUGAUCGAUAAGAUUUGACUAUGGUCAACUCUCGUUGGGAAAUUCUGUGAAUCUGACUGUUUAGAGGAAGGAAAAGCCGUAACA